rnacentral:rRNA from 1 species
GACGAACGCUGGCGGCGUGCUUAACACAUGCAAGUCGAACGGAAAGGCCCUGCUUUUGUGGGGUGCUCGAGUGGCGAACGGGUGAGUAACACGUGAGUAACCUGCCCUUGACUUUGGGAUAACUUCAGGAAACUGGGGCUAAUACCGGAUAGGAGCUCCUGCUGCAUGGUGGGGGUUGGAAAGAUUCGGCGGUUGGGGAUGGACUCGCGGCUUAUCAGCUUGUUGGUGGGGUAGUGGCUUACCAAGGCUUUGACGGGUAGCCGGCCUGAGAGGGUGACCGGCCACAUUGGGACUGAGAUACGGCCCAGAAUCCUACGGGAGGCAGCAGUGGGGAAUAUUGCACAAUGGGCGGAAGCCUGAUGCAGCAACGCCGCGUGCGGGAUGACGGCCUUCGGGUUGUAAACCGCUUUCGCCUGUGACGAAGCGUGAGUGACGGUAAUGGGUAAAGAAGCACCGGCUAACUACGUG